UACGUAGGGUGCAAGCGUUGUCCGGAAUUAUUGGGCGUAAAGAGCUCGUAGGCGGUUUGUUGCGUCGGCUGUGAAAUCCCGAGGCUCAACCUCGGGUCUGCAGUCGAUACGAGCAAACUAGAGUGUUGCAGGGGAGACUGGAAUUCCUGGUGUAGCGGUGAAAUGCGCAGAUAUCAGGAGGAACACCGGUGGCGAAGGCGGGUCUCUGGGCAACAACGUGACGCUGGAGGAG
rnacentral:rRNA from 1 species